rnacentral:rRNA from 1 species
CCGUAGCCUCAAAGAGGGGGACAACAGUUGGAAACGACUGCUAAUACCGCAUACGAUCUAACCUCGGCAUCGAGGAAAGAUGAAAGGUGGCCUCUAUGUAUAAGCUAUCACUGAAGGAGGGGAUUGCGUCUGAUUAGCUAGUUGGAGGGGUAACGGCCCACCAAGGCGAUGAUCAGUAGCCGGUCUGAGAGGAUGAACGGCCACAUUGGGACUGAGACACGGCCCAG